rnacentral:rRNA from 1 species
UAAUGAGGGGAGGAAAAGAAACUAACUAGGAUCCUUAGUAGCGGCGAGCGAAACGGGAAGAGCCCAGCACGUAGACCGACAGCUGUAAUGGUUGUUUGGUGAUGCCGUGUGCAAGAGUGUCUAUUAUCUUGUGUCAAAAUAGUAUGUCCAAGUCCAUCUUGAAUGAGGCCAUGUACCCAGAGAGGGUGCUAGGCCCGUAGUGACUGCUAUUGAUAUAAGAAGGCAUCUCUUAGGAGUCGUGUUGCUUGAUAGUGCAGCACUAAGAGGGAGGUAAACUUCUUCUAAGGCUAAAUAUUACCAUGAGACCGAUAGCGAACAAGUACCGUGAGGGAAAGUUGAAAAGCACUCUGAAUAGAGAGUCAAAAAGUACGUGAAACCGUUUAAGGGUUUAAACCUGAUGAACCUAAAUAUCUGAAUGAGGAAAUUCAGCAUUAAUGUGCCAGAUGAUGGUACAUUGGUGUGCACUUUUCUUCUAGUAAGACGUUGCGAUCCAUUAGAAAAGCAAUUUAAAUCUGUAUAUAGGCCCGGAUAGGAGUUUAUACAUUAAGCGAGUAACAUGGCUUUGUUGUUAUGUGAAUGCGUGUAAACUAUCUGGUGUUCUUACAGAUGUCUGAUGGUAUAUUGACGAGUGUCACAUGCAAUUCCCUGUGAAUUGACAUUCUUUAUGGAUGUAAUGUGUACAU